rnacentral:rRNA from 1 species
CCUACGGGAGGCAGCAGUGAGGAAUAUUGGUCAAUGGCCGGAAGGCUGAACCAGCCAUGCCGCGUGAAGGUCAGUGCCCUAUGGGCGUUAAACCUCUUUUGUGCGGGAGCAAUAAUGGUCACGUGUGGCCAGACGAGAGUACCGUACGAAUAAGCAUCGGCUAACUCCGUGCCAGCAGCCGCGGUAAUACGGGGGAUGCAAGCGUUAAUCGGAUUUAGUGGGUUUAAAGGGUGCGUAGGCUGUGAGGUAAGUCAGCGGUGAAAUGCCCCCGCUCAACGGGGUGAAGUGCCAUUGAUACUGCCUGGCUGGAAGGCGGAUGCCGUGGGAGGAAUGUGUGGUGUAGCGGUGAAAUGCAUAGAUAUCACACAGAACACCGAUUGCGAAGGCAUCUCACGAAUCCGCGAUUGACGCUGAUGCACGAAAGCGUGGGUAUCAAACAGGAUUAGAUACCCUUGUAGUC